rnacentral:rRNA from 1 species
UACGUAGGGUGCAAGCGUUAAUCGGAAUUACUGGGCGUAAAGCGUGCGUAGGCGGUUUUGUAAGUUGGUCGUGAAAGCCCCGGGCUCAACCUGGGAAUGGCGAUGAAGACUGCAAGGCUAGAAUCUGGCAGAGGGGGGUAGAAUUCCACGUGUAGCAGUGAAAUGCGUAGAGAUGUGGAGGAACACCGAUGGCGAAGGCAGCCCCCUGGGUCAAGAUUGACGCUCAUGCACGAAAGCGUGGGGAGCAAACAGG